GUUUAGCCCCGAUUGUAGCGGUUAUUCUGCUCAAUUGGACAAGUUGCGAGGACCAGAUUUUGGCUUGGCUACGCGGAGCAAGAGACAGGACAAACCGUAGCCCUCGCCUCGUAUCAAUGAGCAGAUAUGAGCGAAAAGCGGGAUUGGCU
rnacentral:sRNA from 1 species